GACGAACGCUGGCGGCGUGCCUAAUACAUGCAAGUAGAACGCACAGUUUAUACCGUAGCUUGCUACACCAUAGACUGUGAGUUGCGAACGGGUGAGUAACGCGUAGGUAACCUGCCUGGUAGCGGGGGAUAACUAUUGGAAACGAUAGCUAAUACCGCAUAAUAUUGAUUAUUGCAUGAUAAUUGAUUGAAAGAUGCUAUUGCAUCACUACCAGAUGGACCUGCGUUGUAUUAGCUAGUAGGUGAGGUAACGGCUCACCUAGGCGACGAUACAUAGCCGACCUGAGAGGGUGAUCGGCCACACUGGGACUGAGACACGGCCCAGACUCCUACGGGAGGCAGCAGUAGGGAAUCUUCGGCAAUGGACGAAAGUCUGACCGAGCAACGCCGCGUGAGUGAAGAAGGUUUUCGGAUCGUAAAGCUCUGUUGUAAGAGAAGAACGGGUGUGAGAGUGGAAAGUUCACACUGUGACGGUAUCUUACCAGAAAGGGACGGCUAACUACGU
rnacentral:rRNA from 1 species